ACAGCAAAUAACUGAGUGGUGUUACCCUCACACAGAUUCACACAAACCCUCAGUUAGUUACUACUUACCAUUUCGUUUCUUUCAUCAAUUUCACUUCGAUUCGAAUUUCAUGGCCCGAAUCGACAUGCUCUUCACGCCGACGGCCACGUCAUCGGAGCCGUCCGUCGUGCCGGCGCUUGAGCUCACGGCUUCCUACAGCUGGUGGCAACACGUCAACGAUUCUCCGCCGUGGCAGGACCGUAUCUUCUACUCUCUUGCCGUCUUAUACGGCGUCGUAGCCACCGUAGCUCUGGUGCAACUAGUUCGGAUACAAUGGAGAGUUCCAGAAUACGGUUGGACCACUCAGAAGGUCUUUCACUUACUCAAUUUUUUGGUGAAUGGGGUUCGUUGUUUAGUUUUCAUAUUCUAUCGGAAUGUGGAGAGUUUACAGCCAGAGAUUGCUAGACAUAUCUUACUUGACCUGCCAAGUCUUGCUUUCUUUACAACGUAUGCGCUUUUGGUUCUGUUCUGGGCCGAGAUUUAUUAUCAGGCGCGUGCUGUGUCUACUGAUGAGCUCAAACCAAGUUUCUAUACAAUUAAUGCUGUGGUUUAUGCUAUUCAGAUUAUUUUGUGGUUGAUAUUAUGGUGGAAACCUGUCAGUGUCAUGGUCAUUCUGUCUAAGAUAUUCUUUGCAGGGGUCUCUUUGUUUGCAGCCCUUGGCUUUCUUCUCUUUGGUGGAAGAUUAUUCUUGAUGCUACAACGCUUUCCUGUUGAAUCCAAAGGGCGACGUAAGAAGUUGCAAGAGGUUGGAUACGUGACCACCAUAUGUUUUUUAUGUUUUCUUGUCAGAUGCAUUAUGAUGUGCUUUGACGCUUUUGAUAAAAAUGCCGACCUUGAUGUCUUGGAACACCCUAUUCUCAACUUCAUAUAUUACCUGAUAGGUGGGAUGGGUGGCUUACAGGGAUCAUAGCUCCCACCUUGUUUAUUACAGCUCCUUAAUGACCAACAAAGUUGUGACUUGACUACAAGGCCCUUAACUGCUUACUUUUCUUAUUUUUGACCUAUUCUACUCGUAAUUUUUCUUUAAGUUGGUGGAAAUAUUGCCUUCAGCUUUGGUUCUUUUCAUUUUGAGGAAGCUGCCACCCAAGCGAGGUAUCACACAAUAUCACCCGAUACGCUGAAAAGAUUGAACAUAUCUAGGAUUACGGAAGUUAUCAGUGACUCUUUAUAUUCUUCGCUCUAGAGAGACAGGAUAGUCUUCGUGUUGUUUGGAUUGAUAGCUUGUAGUUGUAGAUUUUGGUACAUGACAUUUCACGUAUUCUCCAACAUGUCGAAUUUUGUUAUCUCUGAAAUGUGCUUUGUCUCUAGGACUUUAUUUCCAAUUUUAUUAUGCAGUUAAACACAGUGAGCAACCAUAAGUUGGAGAAGGGGAUAGUCAUAUCUUGUAUAAAUAGCAUGUUAGUCUAUUUGCUUCUACAAGUAGGUGAAAUGUCGCAUAAUUGAUCCUUGUUUUGCUUGA